rnacentral:rRNA from 1 species
GACGAACGCUGGCGGCGUGCUUAACACAUGCAAGUCGAACGGAAAGGCCCUGCUUUUGUGGGGUGCUCGAGUGGCGAACGGGUGAGUAACACGUGAGUAACCUGCCCUUGACUUUGGGAUAACUUCAGGAAACUGGGGCUAAUACCGGAUAUGAGCUCCUGCUGCAUGGUGGGGGUUGGAAAGUUUCGGCGGUUGGGGAUGGACUCGCGGCUUAUCAGCUUGUUGGUGGGGUAGUGGCUUACCAAGGCUUUGACGGGUAGCCGGACUGAGAGGGUGACCGGCCACAUUGGGACUGAGAUACGGCCCAGACUCCUACGGGAGGCAGCAGUGGGGAAUAGUGCACAAUGGGCGGAAGCCUGAUGCAGCAACGCCGCGUGCGGGAUGACGGCCUUCGGGUUGUAAACCGCUUUCGCCUGUGACGAAGCGUGAGUGACGGUAAUGGGUAAAGAAGCACCGGCUAACUACGUG